GUGGACGUAAUCGUGUUCAGACAAUAAAACAGCAACGUGUUCUUUGUACAGGAUUACAAACAGGCGUUUCCAUGAAGCGAGUAUGGCGCAGCGUGACUCGUCACUGUCUGAUUGUUUGGGUAUUUGUGUAUUAUCAUGUUGAAUCAAUAUGGUCACCACAGCUCAUGAAAACAAAAUAAUUGCAAGGGCUUCCCAGGACAUCCGCCAGCUUUCGUUUGGUUACAUACGACCACAACCUUCCAAACAGAUAACGUCGUAUGCCAAAAGCUUGUUGUUAUUUAAUAUAAUAAUGUGGUCGACACGAUGUAAACCUUCCGUCGAGCUCAUAUAAAUUCAACUCGAUAAUUUUUAUUCAUUGAGAUUCAUCCAAAGACACUAAACAACAUUUGUAUUGACCGA